rnacentral:lncRNA from 1 species
UUUUUUGCACGUGUGGAAAAUUAAUUGACCUAGGGUUUGUUGAAUGUAUCACAUUUAUGUAUGUUUUGCCAAAUCCUUCAUGAAAUGAUGAUACCUUUAAAGAAAUUGAUGAAAAAUUUUGUGCUUGUUCUGGACUCAUUGAUGGUGAUUUUCAUGUAGAGUUUGUGAUUUUUGGAUACUUGGUUGAUUAGAUAUGAUUUUUUGAUUAGAG